CUUCAUCGCAGGGUGACUGUUUCAUAAGGAUGGAAUAGAGGGUGCAGACGCGCACGCUCCGUCUGGUCCCGUGCUCGGGCUUCAUUGCAACAUGGAUUACAGAGACGGUUUCUCUGCCUCGACAUUUUGAAUGGGCGACGUCUAUGAAUGAUGUGUCAGUGAGUGGGCAGGGUGGGAGAGAGAGACCAGGCGGAGAGAGACCAGGGUGGGAGAGAGAGACCAGGGUGGGAGAGAGAGACCAGGGGUGGGAGGAGACCAGGGAAGGGAGAGAGAGAGACCAGGGAAGGGAGAGAGAGAGACCAGGGCGGGGAGAGAGACCAGGAGAGACCAGGGCAGAAAGAGAGACCAGGGUCUGGCUGGUUUGGGGGUCUUAUCUGUGCUUUUUGGCCCCGGGUGCCAUCUUUCUGACUGACCUCUGCAUUAGAGGAGAUAGAGAGACCAGCAGAGUAUAAAGACACCAUCAAAGUAUGGACGGACAGGCCAGUAGAGUAUAGACCAGCAAGGUACAGAGACCACUAGAGAGAGAACAGUGGAGUAUAGAGACCAGUACAGCAUAGAUGGACCAGAAGGGACAAUUCGAGUAUAGAGGGGGGAGUAUAAUGAAACCAGUAAAGUAUUGAGAAAGCAG
ensembl:lncRNA